rnacentral:pre_miRNA from 1 species
UGAAUGGUGGGCAUUGUUUGCAUGUCUGAUGAAAUCAUCCAGUUUUUGUUGAGAUUCAAUCCAUUUCAUGUCAAAACUGGAUGAUUUCAUCAGACAUGCAAACAAUGCCCACCAUU